rnacentral:rRNA from 1 species
CGAAAUAGCUCCCACUUAUAGACCGUACCCGAAACCGACACUGGUGGACUGGUAGAGCGUACCAAGGCGCUUGAGAGAACUAUGCUGAAGGAACUCGGCAAAUUGCACGCGUAACUUCGGAAGAAGCGUGACCCAUAUGUACGCAAGUAUAUGUGGGUGGCACAGACCAGGGGGUAGCGACUGUUUAUCAAAAACACAGGGCUCUGCGAAGUCGCAAGACGACGUAUAGGGUCUGACGCCAGCCCGGUGCUGGAAGGUUAAGAGGAGGGGUGCAAGCUCUGAAUCGAAGCCCCAGUAAACGGCGGCCGUAACAAUAACGGUCCUAAGGUAGCGAAAUUCCUUGUCGGGUAAGUUCCGACCUGCACGAAUGGCGUAACGACUUCCCCGCUGUCUCCAGCAUAGACUCAGUGAAAUUGAAUUCCCCGUGAAGAUGCGGGGUUCCUGCGGUUAGACGGAAAGACCCCGUGCACCUUUACUAUAGCUUUACAUUGGCAUUCGUAGUGGCAUGUGUAGGAUAGGUGGUAGGCUUUGAAGCCAGGGCGCCAGCCUUGGUGGAGCCAACCUUGAAAUACCACCCUUAUCUCUAUGGAUGUCUAACCGCGGCCCGUUAUCCGGGUCCGGGACAAUGUAUGGUGGGUAGUUUGACUGGGGCGGUCGCCUCCUAAAGAGUAACGGAGGCGCGCGAUGGUGGGCUCAGACCGGUCGGAAAUCGGUCGUCGAGUGCAAUGGCAUAAGCCCGCCUGACUGCGAGACUGACAAGUCGAGCAGAGACGAAAGUCGGUCAUAGUGAUCCGGUGGUCCCGCGUGGAAGGGCCAUCGCUCAACGGAUAAAAGGUACGCCGGGGAUAACAGGCUGAUGACCCCCAAGAGUCCAUAUCGACGGGGUUGUUUGGCACCUCGAUGUCGACUCAUCGCAUCCUGGGGCUGGAGCAGGUCCCAAGGGUAUGGCUGUUCGCCAUUUAAAGCGGUACGUGAGUUGGGUUCAGAACGUCGUGAGACAGUUCGGUCCCUAUCUGCCGUGGGUGUAGGAAUAUUGAAAGGAUCUGUCCCUAGUACGAGAGGACCGGGAUGGACGUAUCUCUGGUGGACCUGUUGUGGCGCCAGCCGCAUAGCAGGGUAGCUAUAUACGGACGGGAUAACCGCUGAAGGCAUCUAAGCGGGAAACCCACCUUAAAACGAGUAUUCCCUGAGAGCCGUGGAAGACGACCACGUUGAUAGGCCGGGUAUGGAAGUGCGGCAACGCAUGAAGUUUACCGGUACUAAUAGCUCGAAU